AUUGAACGCUGGCGGCAGGCCUAACACAUGCAAGUCGAGCGGUAGCACAGAGAGCUUGCUCUCGGGUGACGAGCGGCGGACGGGUGAGUAAUGUCUGGGAAACUGCCUGAUGGAGGGGGAUAACUACUGGAAACGGUAGCUAAUACCGCAUAACGUCGCAAGACCAAAGUGGGGGACCUUCGGGCCUCAUGCCAUCAGAUGUGCCCAGAUGGGAUUAGCUAGUAGGUGGGGUAACGGCUCACCUAGGCGACGAUCCCUAGCUGGUCUGAGAGGAUGACCAGCCACACUGGAACUGAGACACGGUCCAGACUCCUACGGGAGGCAGCAGUGGGGAAUAUUGCACAAUGGGCGCAAGCCUGAUGCAGCCAUGCCGCGUGUGUGAAGAAGGCCUUCGGGUUGUAAAGCACUUUCAGCGGGGAAGAAGGCGGUGAGGUUAAUAACCUUGUCGAUUGACGUUACCCGCAGAAGAAGCACCGGCUAACUCCGUGCCAGCAGCCGCGGUAAUACGGAGGGUGCAAGCGUUAAUCGGAAUUACUGGGCGUAAAGCGCACGCAGGCGGUCUGUCAAGUCGGAUGUGAAAUCCCCGGGCUCAACCUGGGAACUGCAUUCGAAACUGGCAGGCUAGAGUCUUGUAGAGGGGGGUAGAAUUCCAGGUGUAGCGGUGAAAUGCGUAGAGAUCUGGAGGAAUACCGGUGGCGAAGGCGGCCCCCUGGACAAAGACUGACGCUCAGGUGCGAAAGCGUGGGGAGCAAACAGGAUUAGAUACCCUGGUAGUCCACGCCGUAAACGAUGUCGAUUUGGAGGUUGUGCCCUUGAGGCGUGGCUUCCGGAGCUAACGCGUUAAAUCGACCGCCUGGGGAGUACGGCCGCAAGGUUAAAACUCAAAUGAAUUGACGGGGGCCCGCACAAGCGGUGGAGCAUGUGGUUUAAUUCGAUGCAACGCGAAGAACCUUACCUGGUCUUGACAUCCACAGAACUUUCCAGAGAUGGAUUGGUGCCUUCGGGAACUGUGAGACAGGUGCUGCAUGGCUGUCGUCAGCUCGUGUUGUGAAAUGUUGGGUUAAGUCCCGCAACGAGCGCAACCCUUAUCCUUUGUUGCCAGCGGUUAGGCCGGGAACUCAAAGGAGACUGCCAGUGAUAAACUGGAGGAAGGUGGGGAUGACGUCAAGUCAUCAUGGCCCUUACGACCAGGGCUACACACGUGCUACAAUGGCAUAUACAAAGAGAAGCGACCUCGCGAGAGCAAGCGGACCUCAUAAAGUAUGUCGUAGUCCGGAUUGGAGUCUGCAACUCGACUCCAUGAAGUCGGAAUCGCUAGUAAUCGUAGAUCAGAAUGCUACGGUGAAUACGUUCCCGGGCCU
rnacentral:rRNA from 1 species